GCUUGGCUGGCUCAGUCCGUAGAGCACGGGACUCUCAAUCUCAGGUUUGUGAGUUCAAGCCCCAUGUUAGGCA
rnacentral:tRNA from 1 species